GUUUUUAUGGUGUAUGUAUGCACGUUGAAAUUUCAUCUCAAAAGAGUAUUUUUAUACUAAAAAU